AAGUACCAACGCCUUAGGGCAAUUUACCAACAGAGACGGUUAAAGUAGCGGUUGGCUACUAAUUGCCGCCUAGCCAUUGACUCGAUUUCGAUUUCGAUUUCAUCAUUUCUACUCUGAUUCUUGCUGAGUGAACGUCAUUUUGACUCUGCCAUUUUCCUGCACCAUUUCGUUUUCUUGUACACGAUGUCUGCUAAACGAACUUAUUCUGCAUCUAAUGUUCUGUUUGAAGAUCCUGACUUUCCUUUUCGGGACUCAGAUGACGAUUUAAUCGAUGAAGUGGAUCAGAUUUUU